AUUAUUGAUCAACCUCAAUAGCCUCAAUCCAUAUCUGUCUGUCCGUCUCUCCGUCUUGUUUGUCGGCUAGUUCUCAGAGACUAUGAAAGCUAGAGUCACCGAAUUUUGUGUGAAGACUCAUGUGAUAUCACACUGAAUCAAGUUUUUUUGUUGAAGUCUCAUCCACAAAGAACGAAAAUCUGAUUAUCCACAAUUUUGAAGAAAAGAUAAUGUUUAUCAAAUCACCGACUUGGGAUUAGAUUGGAUCAUUAGCCAGAAUGAAGAAAUUAAUUUGCCGUGGCUACCCCCACCCCGUCCAGCAGCUUUGCUUGUGCUUUCUUUUUGUUGUCAUUCUUUCUGGAUCACACACUCUGCCUCUGCACAUACUGCAGAUAUGCAGUAUGCGUCACUGGGUGAGGGGUGGCGAGCAAAAUGGGCGUGAUGGCGGGAGAAGUGAUGUAGAAAAAAUGUAAAAUGUAAAACUCAAAAAAAUAACACUCAGAUACAGAUAUACUGACUGAGUACCGGGUAUAAAAGUUGUGACGCGUUUAAUCUAAUAAAC
rnacentral:lncRNA from 1 species